UACGGAAGGCAGCAGGGGGAAUAUUGCACAAUGGGCGCAAGCCUGAUGCAGCCAUGCCGCGUGUAUGAAAAAGGCCUUCGGGUUGUAAAGUACUUUCAGUCGUGAGGAAGGUGUUAAGGUUAAUAACCUUAGCAAUUGACGUUAGCGACAGAAGAAGCACCGGCUAACUCCGUGCCAGCAGCCGCGGUAAUACGGAGGGUGCGAGCGUUAAUCGGAAUUACUGGGCGUAAAGGGCACGCAGGCGGUUAAUUAAGUUGGAUGUGAAAUCCCCGGGCUUAACCUGGGAAUGGCAUUCAAGACUGGUUAGCUAGAGUCUUGUAGAGGGGGUAGAAUUCCAUGUGUAGCGGUGAAAUGCGUAGAGAUGUGGAGGAAUACCGGUGGCGAAGGCGGCCCCUGGACAAGACUGACGCUCAUGUGCGAAAGCGUGGGGAGCAAACAGGGAUUAGAUACC
rnacentral:rRNA from 1 species